ACUCCUACGGGAGGCAGCAGUGGGAAUUUUGGACAAUGGGCGAAAGCCUGAUCCAGCAAUGCCGCGUGUGUGAAGAAGGCCUUCGGGUUGUAAAGCACUUUUGUUUGGGAAGAAAUCUGUCCGGCUAAUACCUGGAUGGGAUGACGGUACCUUUCGAAUAAGCACCGGCUAACUACGUGCCAGCAGCCGCGGUAAUACGUAGGGUGCGAGCGUUAAUCGGAAUUACUGGCGUAAAGCGUGCGCAGGCGGCUCUGCAAGACAGAUGUGAAAUCCCCGGCUGCAACCUCGGAAGCUGCAUUGUUGACUGCAAAUGCAUAGAGUGUGUCAGAGGGAGGUGGAAUUCCACGUGUAGCAGUGAAAUGCGUAGAGAUGUGGAGGAACACCGAUGGCGAAGGCAGCCUCCUGGGAUAACACUGACGCUCAGGCACGAAAAGCGUGGGGGAGCAAACAGGAUUAGAUACCCUGGUAGGCUCU
rnacentral:rRNA from 1 species